AAAAACAAAACAAAUGCUCUGUAAGGCUACACAUUUCUUGUUAUUGCAGCUGUAAUAGGCAGAUAAAUAAGGACGAUGCAAAGGUCACCUCCAGCCAGCAGAUGGCAGUGUUAGGCAACCCGGAAACAGCAAGGCUGAUGCCAUGUGACUGUGUGAGGGAUUCUGGGAAAUAGGAAGAGGAGGUAACAAGGCCAGGAGAGAGCAUGCUGGAUCCCCUGUGAUGUAAAGUUGGGAAAGUGCAGGAGAGGCUGCAGCAACUGCCAGUUCCACUUAGUGUCUUCUCAUUACAGUGUCCGUGUCGCACAGAGCAGAACCCCCAAUCUCUGUCCCACCCUGCAUGUUAUGAAGUCUCGGACACCAAUGGUGGGGUUUAGUAAAAAGGUGAUAACCAGGCGGUGAUAACAGAGUUGCUGCUCUUUUCAGACAGAACCAAUCGAUCCGGAAGAGCAUGGCAGCGAGCAGGUUAACCUCUGGAAUAUUGACAGUAACUUCAUGUGGAACAGGAUUGGAGCUGGUGAGUUCCUGACUGGGUGGCACUAGCUUUCCAACUGUCACCUCUGCCUUAAAUGAAGCUGUAUAAUUAUUUGCUGUGUAUUUCUCUCUGUGCUGCGCAGAGUACAGGAGUAAUGUGCCCGUAUGUUUGGUAAGUUUGCAUGUAGUUACCCAAGUUACAUAGUUAUGAAGUUAAAUCGGGUUGAAAAAAGACAAAGUCCAUCAAGUUCAACCCCUCCAAAUGAAAACCCAGCAUCCAUACA